GCGCGGGCCUCGCAGAGCCCUGUUUCCGGGCGCGCAGAGCUGCGGGUCGGUGAGGGCGUGUGCCCGCCCGCGGCCGAGCGAGACGCCUCGUGAAGAGGCCUUGAGUGUGCGUCCCCUUUAGCCCUCACCGCCCAGCUGGUCGGUGCCAUCACGCUGCAGCGGGUUCCCGACAGCCCUCCAUGGCAGCACGUGCCCCCCGUGCCCCCAGAGGCUCCGGACGCCCGGAGGGCCGAGGCGGCGUGUGCUGCCGACGACCCAGACCCAGAGGCGAGCAGAGACCCAGCACCUCCAAGGCCACUGGGCAGGUGUGUGGCCAGACUCAACACCGGGCCAGUCAGAGUCUCACUUUUCACAGGAGUUAUCCACACUGGAGCCAGCAGGGAGGAGCAGGUCUUCUCUGGGAUCAUGUUGGGGUAUGAGCACUGUCCCUGCUCAAGCCUAAAGUGGGUGCAUCAUGACAGGUGAACUGGUGCGGUGAGGAGGCCACCGAAGUCUGGGUGUCCUGGGGGUGGGAUUACGUCUGCCUUCAUUCAUUCAUCAGUUAAUUUGAGUGCUGGGG
rnacentral:lncRNA from 1 species